GUGAAGAACCCGGCUGUGAUGGUGAGUUCUCCUCCUUGAUGGCUUCCUCCUGAGCCCUGCAAAGAGUUCUUUUGCCUGGGCUACCUUGUCAGGGUCACAUAAGAGACGAUGACAAGGAAAUACACAACAGUAUGGUCACCGUUUUCGGAAAGGAAAUGUGUAACAAGUCUGCCACAAUUGCAUCUGUAAUACCAAUCAGUGGGAAAACACUUGUUACAGAGCGGCCCUGUGGGCCAACUGCAAGUCAAGGGAUCACUGUGAGUCACACAGUGUUCGGUCAUGAAAGAAAUUAUGAUACUGCAUCUCAGGUGGAUUUGCAGGAAUUCAGUGAGUAAAAUGGAAACGACACCUAGGGAAGUCAUAGUGACUCUGCCUGCCAGGCACCUCAAGGAGUUUUCACCCAAAGAAAGGGCACGAUGGGAAUUAUCUGGGUGCUUUCCUCAGAGGUCUGAGUUCAGAUCCCUCACAAAGUGCUGUGUGAGAGUCUACUGUUUGGUAAAACAUGGCCGCUCAGUGGGAGCCAACUUCUUUGUCAAGCCCACGUUGAAAAAGCAUAAUUAUUUACUUUGAAAGAAAACUCUCUAUUUCUAAGAGAAUGUCAGUCUCCUAGGGGUUGCUUUUACAGUUUUCUGACUUGUCUCU
rnacentral:lncRNA from 1 species